UUUUUUUCUUUCUGGAUAGAAACUGCUUGAAGCCGGCAUCGAGGUGCCGGAGGCUGGGAAGAAGGGAGCAGGACUGCAGGAGGAGAACAAGAGUCUCAAAGAUGAGAUGAAGACCCUGAAGGAGGAGCUGGACACCACCAAGAAAGCUCUGCAGAAGUCAGACAGCGACGUUCAGGCAAUGAAGAAACAGGCUGAGAACCUGACGGUGGAGUACGACAGACUGCUGGAAGAGCACAGCAAGCUGCUGGCGAGCAGCGAUAAGAAAUCAGACUGAGAAGGGGAGAGACCGUUUCCGGCUUCUGUCAUCUUCAUCUUCCUCAACUUCGCCGUCCUCAACACACGGUCUGCAGCUUCUGUAUCCACCUUGCCGUCCUGCUCAGCGAUAUGAUGUCACUUCCUUUGGGUCAGCUGACGCCGACGGGCUGUGAUUGGUUAAUUAGACCGUCGUCAGCUGUUAAACUCUUCAGCCUCUGUCACUGUUGGAGUUUCUUAAUUUUUUGUCUUUCGUACUGAAGAGUUGUUUUGUUUUUUUGUUUCCUUUUCACUUUGAUUUGAGCCUUUUUUUUUUUUCCCCACUUUGCUGUUUUAGAGGAAUUAAACAGUUAAACAGUGUUUUCUUCUUAAAAUUUGACCUGAAUUUAAAUCAUGUGUUCUGCUGUUCACUCCAUAAUAAGACGGCUGAGAUUCAUGUUUUUCACAAUCUGGGUUCAAAUUAGGGUUAAAAAGUCUCCAAACAGAAAAAAGUCACGCGGUGAAUGUAAGGUUGUAAAUUUAUCCCGAAUGCGUCUGUGGCAUUUUUGAAUUAAACGAAAUCCCCUAAUUUCUUGCUGUAAAGUGUGAUCAGGACCUUCAUGAAUGUUUGGAGCCGCGGCUGGACGACGGCCCGGCCUCAAAGUGUGCGUCACUUUGUACGAGCAGAAGAAAAGAUCAGCAUCUUUUUGACACGUUUUCUGUUCUGAGUUGGAUCAAUCAUUUACUUGAAAAUUGUUAAGAGAUUAAAGUUAAGAUCCCGAUUUUACAGUCCUGUGACCUUUGCAGAUCAUUAUUCACCCACACAGCGAAGUAAAGGAUUAGAGCAGAAACUGUGACCAGAAGAAACGCUGUCUUCUGCCGGUGCUCUGCGAUCAGUCUUUGUUGCCAGGCGUAAUAAACACGCUCCACGUCCACAUCUGUUGGUUGGUUCGGUGGGGAUUUCUGUUUCUGCUCAGAAGUGAACAGUGAAGUUUUGGGUUUAACGGCUGGUUGUUCUGAGAUUCGCUCUGUGCUGAGAGAACAGGCGACUCUGUCUGUUCCUGGGCCUCGUCCACCUGAAACCAUCCUCGCCCAUUUCCAGCUGCAUUUUCCCCAGAUGUCAGCGCAGUUUGGCAAACGUUUGAGAAUUUGUUGCUACUCAGUUUCUCCGACCAACUCCCGAGGUUCCUGUAAAGACAUUAGAGAGCGUCUGUUUCCUGAGGAGCAGAUAUCUUGGCACUGAGAGCCUCUCAGGCCACGCCGAUGUUUGCCACCGGUUGCUGGUUUAGAAAGAAGCACGCGUGGCGUUUGUGUGUGAACAGACGUGCAGCUGUAAAGGACUUCAACGUGUCGCAUUAGCAGGAGUUAAAUUCCCUCAGACGUAGAAAACUCAGCCGUGAACAUGAGCGAGCGGGUGAAAAGGUUUCCAGAGGGGCAUUGCUACCUGGUCUGGAACCGGUUGGCGUCAUUUCAGCCUGUCCCUCCUUUUUGGCAGCAUAGUAAAGGAGCUUUGUAUUGUUCCCAUGGUGAUUGGACAUUAUUUAGGCAUCAUGUUACCCUCCUCUAUAAUAAAGUGGAAAACGUCUGUGGCUUUGAAAGGUGAAAGGUCUCGGUGGGAAUUCUGUUUUUCUAAGUUACUUUUGCCCUCCUCCCCAUGGGCAGAGUGGACACCUGCCCCGAAGCCCCCAGGGUCCCUGUGUGGCAGUCAGCUAGUGGUCAUUUAACCGCAACUUCGUUUGGGAACACGCGGCACGAAAAGCACAUUAAAGCUGUAAGGGCCCCCGGCACAAGCUACACUUUGUCCUUCCCUCCGAUCCGGAUCCGUGGAGGAAGGACUCCAGCAGAAGCUCAGACUGCUGGAGCUGCUGCCAGACUUCGGCAUUUCUUCACAGGAAAUGCAGAAACGCAAAUGCUUGAGAAACAAAACUGCCCACGAGGUCGUUCAGAGGCUUCGUUCACUCCAACUGCCCGACGUUUUUUUAUGAACGGGGUAUCUGCAGGUCUUCGAUCCUUAAAAAGCAAUGAUUUUGUUCUCCUGAAAAAAGUCUUCACAUCACUUCACCACGGUGUUAAAUCUUGAGCUGCAGUAAACACUGUGCUGCUACAGUAGCUGGAAGACCACCAGCUCAGAACCGACAGGUCGGGAUUUUAGCUAAAACAUUAACAUUAACUUUAACUUCAAUAAAUUCUCAUUUUUAAUUGUGGGGACACAAUUAAAAGUGUUGAGAUGACAAAAUUAUCGUUGUCUAAGAAAUGUGAUACAAGUAAUAAUUCUCGGCCAUAAUGACCCGUGGGCGGGAAAUCCUGUCGGUCUGGCCAGACUCUUCCCCAUAUCUAGGUGGUAUUUAGAAGAAGUCUUAAAUUCCACCUGCAGAAAUCCGGUUCAGAUCUUGUUCAGUGAGAGAAGUUUCCAGAAAUCCCUCUGAAUGUGUCAGUUGGCAGCCGCAUGUCGACCACGGUGGAGGUAGUGGGCCUGUUUGAUUGUACUUAUAUUGGGACUCAGUCGACGUUGGUCACAUUCCUGUCUUGCAUGAUGAAGCUUUAAGACGAACACUUUUGUGACACUUGGGUGAUUUUGUUUGUUUCAGUCAUUUUUUUCUCGUAGCUCAGAAAUGAACGCAAACUUUUCCCAGUUUGUUACAGAUCACUCUUUUCACGGGAUUUGGUGACAACAGGAAAAACCUUUGGAAUCAUUUAGAUCCCGGGACUAGGAGCCAUUCCUUUUAUUCUUAUGCGGGGUUAUUAUACUUUUUUUUGUUUUUUUUGUACGUAGGUUUUAUGAUGUGAUUUCUGGUUAAUUCAGUUACAGCUUGAAGAAACACUGACGGGAACGUCGCUGCUUAAAAGUGAUGAUGCACAGAAAACUUAGACCUAAAAAUCUUGUUUCAUCACCUUUAAUUUGCUCAGAUUCAACAUAUUUGUCCGUGUAUCGAGUGACAACUGCAUGUUUUGUCUAAAAUGUUUUCAAGGUUAAAUGUUCAAUGAACUGACCAGAGGUUCAGACAAAAACAUUCAGACCAAAUCUCAUUCUAACAUUUCUGUGUUUAAACACUUUUCUUCCCGUUACAGCGGCUCUUUUCUUCUGUAUUUUAUUUUCACAUAUGUUGAAGACAGUAAACUUGUACUGAUAGUUGUGUUAAACUCUAGAGGGUGCUGUUUGCAGGUAUUAUGGGAUUUCUGAGGCGAACUGUAUCUGGACUCAUCACAGUCCAGGUGCAGAGCGCUGAAAUAAACCACCAAAGGAGCAUCUACACAGUC